rnacentral:rRNA from 1 species
CCUACGGGGCGCAGCAGUGAGGAAUAUUGGUCAAUGGACGGAAGUCUGAACCAGCCAUGCCGCGUGCAGGAAGACGGCUCUAUGAGUUGUAAACUGCUUUUGUACAAGGGUAAACCUGAAUACGUGUAUUCAGCUGAAAGUACUGUACGAAUAAGGAUCGGCUAACUCCGUGCCAGCAGCCGCGGUAAUACGGAGGAUCCAAGCGUUAUCCGGAUUUAUUGGGUUUAAAGGGUGCGUAGGCGGAUUGAUAAGUUAGAGGUGAAAUGUCCGAGCUUAACUCGGGAACUGCCUCUAAUACUGUUGAUCUAGAGAGUAGGUGCGGUAGGCGGAAUGUAUGGUGUAGCGGUGAAAUGCGUAGAGAUCAUACAGAACACCGAUUGCGAAGGCAGCUUACCAGUCUAUAUCUGACGUUGAGGCACGAAGGCGUGGGGAGCGAACAGGAUUAGAUACCCUGGUAGUC